CUAUCUUUAAAUGAGCGUAAACAAAACAUCAUCACAUCAUCAUCAUUACUGAUAAUCAGUUCAGGCAGUAUGUUGAAUAGGGCUAGCAUAGAGUUAGGGUUUGGGUUAGGGUUACCAUCUUGUGGUGGAUUUUGUGUCUUUGUUUCCUGUUCUGUUUGUUUUCGUGAUUCGUCUGGUUUCCCUGUUGCUUCUCCAAUCCGGGGCGGAGUUGGGUGGAGUCGUUCCUGUGUCCAAUCAGCCACCUAGCUGCACACCUGUUCCUCAUCUGCCUCCAAUUACUCAGUACAUCCUGUGGGUUCAGGUUCACCUCCAUGCUCCAGUCCACCCUACUCAGCUCUGUCUUGGAUUGGACUUGAAAUCCCCCAGCCUUUGGAGUUUGUCUUUGCGUUCUGGAUUGGAUUAAGAAUUUGGAUCUGGAUUAAGACUCUUGCACUCACCUGCUGCCUGGAUUCUAACUGUUUUGUUCCCUGUUCCUCUGCAUUAUAGCCAUUGUGUGUUUUGUACAGUUUUCUUUAUAUAUUUACUAAAGAUCUUAUUUAACCGUUCA